AAUACCCUAUUAUUUUAAAAGUAAUUGAUUAAAUCUAAUUAGUAAUAGUUAAGUUCUUGAAAAUUAAAGAAUUUGGCGGUAUUUUAGUCUAUUCAGAGGAAUCUGUCCUAUAAUUGAUAAUCCACGAUUAUUUAUACCUAAAUUAUUAAUUUACAUAUCGCCGUAGUUUGAAUAUUUUUUGAAAAUUAUAAUAUUCAUAAUUUAUUUUUAUAAAAAAAAUCAGGUCAAGGUGUAGUUUAUAUUUAGGAAGAGAUGGGUUACAAUAAAAAUAUUUAUUAUGGAUUAAUUAAUUAAAUUUUUUUAUGAAAGUGGAUUUGAAAGUAAUUUUAUUUA
rnacentral:rRNA from 1 species